UACGUAGGGGGCGAGCGUUACCCGGAAUCACUGGGCGUAAAGGGAGCGUAGGUGGCCUAACAUGUCAACUGUGAAAACCCGGAGCUCAACUCCGGACUUGCAGUUGAAACUGGUAGGCUUGAGGACGGUAGAGGAAGACGGAACUGCCAGUGUAGGGGUAAAAUCCUUAGAUAUUGGCAGGAACGCCGGUGACGAAGGUGGUUUUCUGGGCCGGUUCUGACGCUGAUGCACGAAAGCGUGGGGAUCGAACAGG
rnacentral:rRNA from 1 species